AGUGAUGGCAUGCGAAUCUCGAAAGCCUAUCUCAGUUCGGAUUGGAGGCUGAAACCCGCCUCCAUGAAGUUGGAUUCGCUAGUAAUCGCGCAUCAGCCAUGGCGCGGUGAAUACGUUCCCGGGCCUUGUACACACCGCCCGUCAAGCCAUGGGAACCGGGGGUGCCUGAAGUUCGUUACCGUAAGGAUCGACCUAGGGCAAAACUGGUGACUGGGGCUAAGUCGUAACAAGGUAUC
rnacentral:rRNA from 1 species